rnacentral:lncRNA from 1 species
CUAUGAUUGAAAUAGUAAAUAGUUUCUGGAUUAGAGAGACUUUGCAGGAGCCAUGAUUUACAUGAUGACACUCAAUAUCACCAAGAUCUAUGAAUGCCGUGAUUUUUUCUAUUUGCUAUCUGAUUUCUACCGUUUCUAGACGCCUAUGAAAUUGUAUCGUGCAACUUGUUUAAGUCCAGUUUUUCAAUUGCAGGCUCUACGGACCAAACUUUUUCGUAUGUGUGUUGCCUAAGUUUGUUGGAUUACUGACUUGGGAAGAACAUCACAAAUGAAAGCUUUGCGGGCCAAACUUUUUCAUAUGGGUGUUGCCUAAGUUUGUUGGAUUACUGACUCAGGAAGAACAUCAUGAAUGAAAGCUGUACAAGAUGCACAGUUUCAUAUCAACAUUCGUCAUUAGUUAAUUUCGUUGGAUCACUGGCUAAGCAGAAGGAACAUCAUUUAAUAUGAAACUGUGAUUUCAACAUUUUAUGAAACACUGCUGUCGGAUCGGUAUUUGAACCACGAGUAAAGACAGUGAGUUAUUGUUAGUAGUGAAAUUUAUAAGUAGCUGAAACUUCAAGAAUGUAAACCUUGCAGCUGUUAACCUCUAGACGGCCGGCAACACCACUAUAGUUUUGUAAAGUUUCUGUUAAAGAAACUGGUCUGUUUCGAAGUUCUGAAACACGUUUUUUAAAUUUUGUACUUUGAACAAAGUCGCGACGAAAUGAAGAGUGUCAUUAGAGAUUUUGCUAUAAUUUUGGAAAUAAAAUUUAGGAACCUUCA